CUACGGGUCGCAGCAGUGAGGAAUAUUGCACAAUGGGGGGAACCCUGAUGCAGCAACGCCGCGUGAAGGAUGACGCAUUUCGGUGUGUAAACUCCUUUUAUAUGUCAAGAAAAUGACGGUAGCAUAUGAAUAAGCACCGGCUAACUCCGUGCCAGCAGCCGCGGUAAUACGGAGGGUGCAAGCGUUACUCGGAAUCACUGGGCGUAAAGGACGCGUAGGCGGGUUGGAAAGUCAGGUGUGAAAUCCUACAGCUUAACUGUAGAACUGCACUUGAAACUUCUAAUCUAGAGUAUGGGAGGGGGAGAUGGAAUUAGUGGUGUAGGGGUAAAAUCCGUAGAUAUCACUAGGAAUACCUAAAGCGAAGGCGAUCUCCUGGAACAUUACUGACGCUAAGGCGUGAAAGCGUGGGGAGCAAACAGGAUUAGAUACCCUUGUAGUC
rnacentral:rRNA from 1 species